GUCAACUUGGAUUCUCUGAAAGGGAUAGUGAGGUUACGCUAGAAGCUUCGGGGGCUUCCUCCAUCCUGCACAGAUGGCGCAGGAUCUAUAGUAUCUGUUUGUCAGACAGGUAAUUCUUGGUACUUCAUAGUAUUUGUUGAUCAAAGAGUUCAUGAGGGUCUUGGACAAGUGUGAUCCUCCAUGGUUCCACUAGACCACUGAUGAGUACAUGCUCUUGGGUAAAGAGAACUUGAGAUUGUUGGAAUACAGCCCGUCUCAAAGGGUUGCCCCUUUCUGUUUCCAGCUUUGUAUAUCUUCAGGAUCAGCAGCUGAGAUCUGUG